rnacentral:rRNA from 1 species
AACGAACGCUGGCGGCAGGCCUAACACAUGCAAGUCGAACGCCCUAGCAAUAGGGAGUGGCAGACGGGUGAGUAACACGUGGGAACCUUCCCUGUAGUACGGAAUAGCCCAGGGAAACUUGGAGUAAUACCGUAUACGCCCGAGAGGGGAAAGAUUUAUCGCUACAGGAUGGGCCCGCGUCGGAUUAGCUAGUUGGUGAGGUAAUGGCUCACCAAGGCGACGAUCCGUAGCUGGUUUGAGAGAACGACCAGCCACACUGGGACUGAGACACGGCCCAGACUCCUACGGGAGGCAGCAGUGGGGAAUAUUGGACAAUGGGCGCAAGCCUGAUCCAGCCAUGCCGCGUGAGUGAUGAAGGCCUUAGGGUUGUAAAGCUCUUUUGUCGGGGACGAUAAUGACGGUACCCGAAGAACAAGUCCCGGCUAACUUCGUGCCAGCCGCCGCAGUAAUAC